AAGCCACUGUGUACGUGCAAAGUCUGUGACACUGCAAUUGCCCUUUCAAAAAGCAGAAGUGCUGAUACAUGGACCCCAUAACUCAGACUCUUCUCCAGUCUGCCAAACAACUGGAGUUGCUAAUGGCUCUAACUUUCUGGCCGGUGUGUGUGUGGCUGCUAUAGCUUACCCAAAGACUGUUCAAGAAACCUCGUCCUCCAGGAAUGCAUCCAUCUUUGUACUGGACUGUGUUUGCUGAAACUGGUGUCUGCAAUGAGAAAGGAAUUCUCCUGGCCUCUCUCGUCCUCCUUGGAACCCCAGUCUGUUGGGAAAGAGGAGAAAGGACUGGAGAUACUGACUGAGGCAUAGCUGGGGAUCAGAACCAGCCUCUGUGCCUGAGAAACCGCAGCCAUGAGAAACCACCACAGCCCUAUAUUUUGGAAGACCUAGGAGCUAGCCUGAGAUCAGCACCUCAUCUGUGGUAGGGAAACAUGAGCACACAGAUGGGGCACAGAAAACACACUGCGGGACUUUGAUCCACUAACCACUUGAUCUCCAGAGUUGAUACAAGUCCUGGUCCAACUGGCAGGCUCCUGGCAUCAGUACUUCUCUGGCUCGCACCUCCCGGUCUGUGCAAAUUGUUUAAGAAAAGCAGCCUCAUUUUGGCUUAAGGGUCAUCAUUCCUCCUUAUGGCAUGUGGUCUGAAUGGAACUGAAUCCUCUUGGUUUCAAGAUUGGCCUGUGACCCAAGUCUGCCAUUGCCCAUUCACCGGGAGCUAUUCCCGCCACUGGGAAUUUCCGAGAAGAAAAGGACUAAGUCAGAAUGAUGUUAUUUUUACUCAAG
rnacentral:lncRNA from 1 species